rnacentral:rRNA from 1 species
CGCUUGUGACCAGACUUGCGCCAGGCGGCUCAACCGGCGUUCUCGCCGGUGCACUCCGCCUGGUUCAGGCCAGCAUCGGUUCUCGCGGGGGGAUAAGAACGGUGGGAAUGUGGCUCCCCUCGGGGAGUGUUAUAACCCGCCGUACGAUACCCUCGCGGGGACCGAGGUUCGCGCUCUGCAAGGAUGCUGGCGUAAUGGUCACCAGCGA